rnacentral:rRNA from 1 species
UACGGGGGGAGCAAGCGUUGUUCGGAUUUACUGGGCGUAAAGGGCGCGUAGGCGGCCAGCACAAGUCAGUUGUGAAAUCUCCGAGCUUAACUCGGAAAGGUCAACUGAUACUGUGCGGCUAGAGUGCGGAAGGGGCAACUGGAAUUCUUGGUGUAGCGGUGAAAUGCGUAGAUAUCAAGCGGAACACCGGUGGCGAAGGCGGCCUUCUGGACAGUGACUGACGCUGAGACGCGAAAGCGUGGGGAGCAAACAGG